rnacentral:rRNA from 1 species
GGGAAUCUACCGAGCCCUGCGGAAUAGCUCCGGGAAACUGGAAUUAAUACCGCAUACGCCCUACGGGGGAAAGAUUUAUCGGGGUUUGAUGAGCCCGCGUUGGAUUAGCUAGUUGGUGGGGUAAAGGCCUACCAAGGCGACGAUCCAUAGCUGGUCUGAGAGGAUGAUCAGCCACAUUGGGACUGAGACACGGCCCAAACUCCUACGGGAGGCAGCAGUGGGGAAUAUUGGACAAUGGGCGCAAGCCUGAUCCAGCCAUGCCGCGUGAGUGAUGAAGGCCCUAGGGUUGUAAGGCUCUUUCAACGGUGAAGAUAAUGACGGUAACCGUAGAAGAAGCCCCGGCUAACUUCGUGCCAGCAGCCGCGGUAAUACGAAGGGGGCUAGCGUUGUUCGGAAUUACUGGGCGUAAAGCGCACGUAGGCGGAUAUUUAAGUCAGGGGUGAAAUCCCGGGGCUCAACCUCGGAACUGCCUUUGAUACUGGGUAUCUUGAGUAUGGAAGAGGUAAGUGGAAUUGCGAGU